GGUUGCAAUAAGUGUCAAUGAAAUUAUUACUUUUGGAGCAAAACCACUUUUUUUUUCUUGAUUACUUUGCUACUAGCCACCUAGAUGUUGACCUUGCUGAAAAGGUUGUAAAAGGCAUUGUAGAUGGUUGCCAACAAUCUGAUUGUGCUCUUUUAGGAGGAGAGACUGCAGAGAUGCCAGAUUUUUAUGCAGAUGGUAUGAUCUCAGUGGUUUUGCUGUUGGCAUUGUAAAAAAAGAUUCAGUUAUUGAUGGGAGAGACAUUGCGGCUGGAGAUGUC